GUACCUAAGGUUACGAUAUUAUUUUUCUCUCAAUCUCACCAUAUUCAUUUCAUUCUCCGUCUCCGACCGACCUGUCAGCCACCAUCUCCGAUCGCCACCGUCUUCCUACAACUCCGAUCGUGCUCGUUGUCUUUUGACUCCGAUCGUCCUAGUUCAUCCAUCUCCGAUCGAUAUUUCCUUCGUCAUUCUCCAAUUGAAAUGGCCAGUCCCCUCGAUCUCCAAUCGAUCCCUUAUUGACUCUUUGUGUCUGAUGGAUCUAUGUUAUUUCAUCCUCCUUCUCUCUCUCUCAGUCUUCAAAUUAUUGAGCGAUCUCUUAUCUCAAGCCCCAACUCUAAACCCUAGAACAUAGUUUCAUCCUCUUGUUUACUUCAGCCUCUUCUGCAUUUCAGAGGGGCCGCAUUUGAAGAUGGAAAAGGACCUUGUAUUUGGGAUACUUUUGCUCAUAAAUGCUCAGUGUUGAGUGAUAUGUCACCAGGGAGAUUGAGGGUGAAGAUGAGGGCGAAGCUGAAGGGACGGUGGGUGAAAGAGGAAGAAAAAUAAAGUUAUAGACACUCAUAUGUUGAUGGGUGGCGCGAGGCGUUGGAGGAGAUGAUGGAAUGGUUGUCUCCGAUCGCGCAAGACACACUUUGGUGGUGAGAAGAGAUGGCAUAAGGUGCGACUGGGUUAUUCUUGCUAUCACCAAUGCACCCCUUGUAGAACAUCUGCAACAUUGCAUUGAUUGGCUAUUUGACUGAGGCAAGAGAUUUUUUGCAAUAAGAGGAACUUAGACAUCAGUUGAUCUCAGGUGCGUAUUUUCUGCGAUCGAAAGUAUCAACAUUCAUUUUUACUAAUUCUAAGGUACGGUUGAUGUUAACUUUAUCAUAGAUGCAUGUCGCAAUAGCUUAAUUCAACUAUUUCAAUGUAUUGAUGUUUGUGGUGUGUCUAAUAUCCAGAACUAUUAUUCCAAUUUCCAUAAUGACUUCAAAUCUGGAAUAGAACAUCUAACAGUAUGUCAAAUCAAUUAAGCUUACAAGCUCAAGGCUCUGGAUGACACCUUAACAUUGAUUUGAAUCUCUAGUAGCCUCUAAAAUCAAUAAGCUGAAUUAUCAUUAAUGUACAAACCAUAAGGAUAUGCUGGCAAAAUGUCCAAUGUAGAAUCAUUAACAGUCACUUCUUCUAUUCUUCAGGUCCUUCGUCAAGUUUCAGGCUUUAUUUAUUCUUACUUUCUUCUUAAGAUGAUAUAUUUUUUUGUCAAAAUUUAAUUCACUUGCAUAAAAACUGAUCUUAAUUCACUUUUGUUUCUUAGAUUCUCUCCUUAGUUCCUGAUUUAUUGGAGGUAAAGCUCUUUUCUUUGUGUAAGUUGAAGUCAUUGGAAGUAGAUUUGAUACCUCUUUAUGAUGGACUGUUAUUACAAUUACUGAAAGAUGCCAUGUUAAAGAAAGCUGAUGCCAUUUCACCUAAAGAAGUUGCUAAGUUAAGAAAGGCAUUUAAAGCACGUUUGAAAUCACAUCCCAUACCUGAUGGACUAGUUGACUUGUUGCGACAAAACUCGUCGUCUGUUGAAGUUAAAAUCACAACAGAUUUCCCGACUUGUUUUAAUCUGAAGCAGGUUGAGGAAUCUAUAAAGGGUGCAAAGAUUAUCAAAUACCGUUCGCAAUUCUUCGCUCCUGCCUCCUCCUCUGCCGCACCUGCUUCUGAUGUUGCUCCUUCUUCUGUCGCUGAGCCUGCCACAACUGCACCUCCCAAUCUUCAUUUGUCUCCCUAAAAAGGAUGAUAAAUCAUCCAAUAAAGAUGAGGAGGAGAAGAACCAACAUAACACCAACUCUCCACUUCAAGAUAAUGGGCAGUGAAGAGUUCUCAUAUUGCCUAUAGGUUAUAAUGCAUUCUUUGUGAAUCUUAGUUGUAAGAUGUUAGAUAAGUGACUGAAAAUAUCAAUUUGAUCGACUUUACUGAAAUAUGUUGUUUGAUUUGAAAAGCAGUUGGUACAUGACUCUUCAUUUGAGGUC